CACGGGGGGAGCCAGCGUUGUUCGGAAUUCCUGGGCGUAAAGGGCGUGUAGGCGGUCAAGUAAGUGGAAUGUGAAACGCCUCGGCUUACCCGAGGACCUGCAUCCCAAACUGCUUGGCUUGAGUAUGGGAGAGGAUGAGGGAAUUCCUGGUGUAGCGGUGAAAUGCGUAGAUAUCAGGAGGAACACCGGUGGCGAAAGCGCUCAUCUGGCCCAAUACUGACGCUGAGGCGCGAAAGCUAGGGGAGCAAACGGG
rnacentral:rRNA from 1 species